AAUACCCGGAACCGCGAUACGUUGUCUGGUAUAGUAUCGUGGUUACUCAUUUUGGUAUCGUGACGACUCUACAACCACAUGAACCGUGUUUAUAAUCAGCUGAUGAAGUCUUCAGUUGGAAAGAAAAUCUGAUGACUCCUGACCCUCCACCACAUGACUGCUCAUCACUUCCCCCAAAUAUCGAUAAUCAAAGUUGGGAAAGGGGGACGGUGCAGGGAACGUUCCAGAUUUCCAUAACUUCCAGAUGUUGAGCCCGGCCACGCCAAGCAACACAAAGAAUCCCACCAGGUAGAUCCCCACCUCCCAGCCAGGUGCAGACAAAGCAGACAAGGAGAUCGCAGCAUGAAGCGGAGAAAAACAGCAAUGUGGAGCAGGCUGAAUCUUCGUACUCUACAUUCUGACUUUUCCACAGCAACAGAAAUUGUACCGCCUCAACCUAAACCAUGUCUUAUUCCCAUGAAAUCAUUCAUCAUAUAUGUCAGUGAUUUAUAUCACAUCUAUUUUCUCCCUCAGGUUUGACACUUUCCUGAUGUGCCAUGAUGAGGCAUG